rnacentral:rRNA from 1 species
AUUGAACGCUGGCGGCAUGCCUUACACAUGCAAGUCGAACGGUAACAGGUCUUCGGAUGCUGACGAGUGGCGAACGGGUGAGUAAUACAUCGGAACGUGCCCGAGAGUGGGGGAUAACGAAGCGAAAGCUUUGCUAAUACCGCAUACGAUCUCAGGAUGAAAGCAGGGGACCGCAAGGCCUUGCGCUCACGGAGCGGCCGAUGGCAGAUUAGGUAGUUGGUGGGAUAAAAGCUUACCAAGCCGACGAUCUGUAGCUGGUCUGAGAGGACGACCAGCCACACCGGGACUGAGACACGGCCCAGACUCCUACGGGAGGCAGCAGUGGGGAAUUUUGGACAAUGGGCGCAAGCCUGAUCCAGCCAUGCCGCGUGCAGGAUGAAGGCCUUCGGGUUGUAAACUGCUUUUGUACGGAACGAAAAGACUCUGGUUAAUACCUGGGGUCCAUGACGGUACCGUAAGAAUAAGCACCGGCUAACUACGUGCCAGCCGCCGCCGUAA